UAACAAAAAAAAAAAAAACGUAGAUAUAAAUAAUAGUAGCAAAGAUUUUGAUACAACAGGAACAAAGUGUCAUGAACAAAAAAAAAACAAUGAAGAAGUGUUUAAUAAAAAGGAGAUUAUGAGACAGAAUAAACAAGGGUUAAAACAAGAAUGCAAACUAGGAAACAAAUUAAAACAUGAUGAAACCGUAUAUUAUUCAAAUUCUUCUAAAGAUAAUAAAAAAAAAAUAAAAUGGACAGAAGAACGUAAUUGCAAUUUAUCAAAAGAAUUAAUAAAAGAGAGUAAGAAAAAUCAAACACAAAACGAAAAAUUUGCAGAACUUAAAAAAAAUAAUAUAAAAUUAUAUAAUAGAAAAAAUGAGUAUACAGUUACCAAUGACGUUUUUAAAGAAGGUUCUAACAUUAAUGCUAACCAAAAUACUAACUCUGAUAAUAAUAAAAACUCUAACACAAAUCAUGAUAUUUACCAUAAUAUUAAAACUCACCUUAACAUUAACCCCAAUACUCACGCUUGUCUUACCCUAAAUCCAAAUAAUAACAUUAAUACUAACUCUAAUCCUAAUCAUAAUACUAACAUUAACACAAAUUCUAAUCCUAACCAUAACUUUAACACAAGCCCUAACACAAACAAUAAUACUCAUCAUAACACUACCCCUAAUGGAAACUUAAUGGUAAGCCUAAAUGAAAGUAGGGACGAGCGUAUAGACAAAGAAAUGAAACAAUGCCAAUAUAAAAGUACAAAUACGCAUAAAGGUUUACAUAAUAAUACAACAUUUCAAUAUAAUAUAGAAAUAAAUGAAGGUAUAAAAAAUAAUGAUAAUGUAAAAAGUAAAAAAAAGAAAAUGAUUAAAAACAAUGCUAUGUAUAGAAAAUGUAACAAAGAGAAUAAUGACAUGGAAACAAAUGGAAAUAGUAAUUACGAUAAUGAUAGAUUAGAUAAUUAUAUAUAUUAUAAUGGUAAUAUCAACAAUAAUAAUAAUAAAAAAAAUAAUAAUAACAUAAAUAAUAUAAAUAUAGAAACAAAUUAUGUUGAUAAAAAUAUAGUGGAAGAAACAAAUAAUAGUAGUAGAAACAAUAGUAAUAACAAUAAAAGUAAAUGUUAUAUUAAUACUUAUACCGAUAAUAAUAACAAUAGUAACAGUAAUGGCACUAAUAAUAAUACGCUUGAGAACAUGUACAAUAUGAAUAACAAUCUUGAGUUAUAUAAUUAUAGUAAUACUAAUACUACUAUUACUGACGUUGACCAUAAUGGUUAUAAUGGAAAUAAUAGUAACAUUAAUUACCAUAGCAACUUCAACUACAGCAACAGCUACAGUAACAGCUACAGUAACAGCUAUAGCCACAACUACGACAGCAAUUACAACAACUACAGUAACAACUAUGAUAGCAACUACAACAGCAACUACAGCAGCAACUACAACAGCAACUACAAUAGCAACUAUAACAAUGGUAAUAGAAAUAAUAGUACUGGUUAUUUGAACAUAACUCCAUUUCAUAAUACUAUAAAUAUUAUGCAGUAUAGUAGCAGUAAUAAUAAUAAUAAUAAUAAUAAUAAUAAUAAUAAUAGUGAAAGUAAUCAGUUCAUGGAAAAAUGUUAUUACAAUAACAACAAUAAAAUAAAUGUUUUACCUAUGACCUAUAUGAUAAAAAACAGAUUAUUUAAUAAUACUACACCUAUAAGUAAUAUAAAUAAUACUGAAGGAGGAUUUAUAUUUUCCACAAAUUGGAGUCCACAUAUUUUGAAUAUGGGAAAUGCUACAAUAAAAAACAAUAUCAACAUGAGUAAUAACAACGUUGGUAAUAAUAUGCUGUGUUAUAAUAGUAUGAGUAAUAAUAUGAUGUGUUACAAUCCUAUAGAUUAUGUUUUUACUACUCAUAAUAAUAAGAAUAAUAUUACUACUAAUAAUAAUAUGCAUUAUAACAGUGUAAGUAACAAUGUUACAAGUAGUGAUAAUAUAACAGAUGGUAAUAUAACUAGUAGUAAUAUAACUAGUAGUAAUAGUAGUAAUAAUAAAAAAAUGAAAAAAGACAGUUUAAGAGUCCCUAGCAAUAUGGAUUACAAUAAUAUAAUUUAUAAUAAAAGUAGUAGCUCUAAUAAUGUAAGUGAUAAUCUUGAUAAAAAUCAUUUAAAAAAUAAUUUAAAAAAAAUAGAAAAAAGAUUACAUGAUCAAUAUUAUAGAAUUAAAUUAUGUCCUUUUUUUAAAAAAGGAUCAUGUCAGAAAGGUGAUAAUUGUUCUUAUGCUCAUUCAACGGAUAAUUUACGUAGUUCAGUUAAUUUAUUUAAGACUAAAAUGUGUGAACAAUGGUUAAAACAAGGAUGUGAAAAAAAUAACUGUAUGUAUGCACAUGGUCAGUUAGAAUUAAGAGCUACGUCUGAUUAUUUUAAAACGAAAUUAUGUAAAUAUUUUGAAAAAGAUGGAAAUUGUACAUUUGGUGAUAAAUGUAGACAUGCACAUGGUUCAGUGGAACUAAGAAUAAGAAAGUACCGAAAAACUGAAUUAGAAAAAUAUGCAUUAAAAAACAAAAUCGAUGUUAAAAUAUUAUAUAAACUUGUAGGUAAUAAAAACAUUACAAGUAAUUCAUUGUUGAGUAAUAUGAAUGAAGAAAGGGAACAAAUAUCUACUAGUGAGAUUACGCACAACGGAAAUGAUCUCGUAUAUACGAAUAUUAAUCACAAAAAUAUUGUCAGUAGUAGUGAUAAUAAAGGUAUUAGUUAUAGCAGUUAUGGUGGUGCUAGUCGUAAAAACAGGGGAAGUAACAACAACGGUAACACUAACAACGAUAACGUUAACAACAGUAGUAACAACAACAGUAGUAACAACAACAGUAACAGCAACAGUAACAACAACAAUAACAACAACAAUAACAACAACAGCAACAGUAACAACAACAAUAACAACAACAGUAACAGCAACAAUAACAACAGUAAACAUAAUACAAAAAGUGAAGUAUCAGUUAUAUUAAAAAAUGAUAAUAUGAAUUUAUUAAAUCAAGAAUUGGAAGGUGUUAAAACAAAAAAAAAAAACACAAAGCAAUUGAAGAAAUCUAAUUAUAGUAGUAGUAACUUCCGUUAAUGAAAAAAUAGCUCUUACUACAAAAAAAGAUGAUACAUACUUAGAAAAAAAUGAAACACUUCAAAACGGUACUGUUUAUGACGACGGGAUCCAAAACAACAUUGAAAAAGAUAGCAAAAAAGAUAAUUUAAUGAACGAACUUGUUUUAAAUAAAUCACAAGAAGACAAAAAUAAACGUGCUCA
rnacentral:lncRNA from 1 species